GAGUCUGGUCCCAAGCUGCAAGAACCACUCAGGCACAAGAGGCCUACACUGCAACUUCUCAAAUUGGAUUAACCUAGUAGGAACAAAAGAAUAGAAAUCAACAAAUUUUCAGAACUAGAAAGCAAAUGGAGGACCGCUCACUGACCAAGCAGGGUGAAUAACACUCAAGUGCCUAUAAAGAGGGAGUCUGAUGAAAAGGAGACCCACCCACCUAACAGAUACUCCAGAGAGACUCAAUACGGCAGGAAAUUGAAAAAUUCUUCGCUGGAGACAAGACCUCAACAUACUGACCUUUGGAAGCUCCUAGUAAAAAGCCUGCCUCACUCCUUGUUUAGCCUACUCAACAGCUGACAAUCACCUCUAUCCCUAAAUUAAAUAUGAACAUAAGAUAAAGGAUCAUCAGUGUGAGAGCAUCAAGACUGGUCACCAUAUCGCCACCUUGUGAGCACCAUAUCAUGGUCCCAACACCAGGACAGCUCCUGCUGAACACAGAAUGACUCCAGAAUCCCUUCCCACUAGGAAGAAUCUUGGAACCACUAAUUUCAUCAGACUCCUGUGAUGCUAACCUUGUGGUUGACCAGACUGAGACCAAGAAGAAGACUCACUUGUUAAUGGUUGAGUAAGGCUGAGAAAGCUA
rnacentral:lncRNA from 1 species